rnacentral:rRNA from 1 species
CAGCCGCCGCGGUAAUACGUAGGGUGCGAGCGUUAAUCGGAAUUACUGGGCGUAAAGCGUGCGCAGGCGGUUUUGUAAGACAGGCGUGAAAUCCCCGGGCUCAACCUGGGAAUGGCGCUUGUGACUGCAAAGCUAGAGUGCGGCAGAGGGGGAUGGAAUUCCGCGUGUAGCAGUGGAAUGCGUAGAUACGCGGAGGAACACCGAUGGCGAAGGCAAUCCCCUGGGCCUGCACUGACGCUCAUGCACGAAAGCGUGGGGAGCAAACAGGAUUAGAUACCCGUGUAGUCCUGUCUCUUAUACC